ACGCUGGCGGCACGCCUAAUACAUGCAAGUCGAACGAAGUAGCAAUACUUAGUGGCAGACGGGUGAGUAACAUGUAGGUAUCUUCCCAUUGGUGAGGAAUAACACGAGGAAACUUGUGCUAAUACCUCAUAAGUCUUUACGGAGAAAGCUUUAUGCGCCGAUGGAUGAGCCUGCACUUGAUUAGUUUGUUGGUAGGGUAAUGGCCUACCAAGACAAUGAUCAAUAGCUGAUUUGAGAGGAUGAUCAGCCACAUUGGGACUGAGACACGGCCCAAACUCCUACGGGAGGCAGCAGUAGGGAAUCUUGCACAAUGGGGGAAACCCUGAUGCAGCGAUGCCGCGUGAGUGAAGAAGGCCUUUGGGUUGUAAAGCUCUUUCGUCGGGGAAGAAAAUGACUGUACCCGAAUAAGAAGGUCCGGCUAACUUCGUGCCAGCAGCCGCGGUAAUACGAAGGGACCUAGCGUAGUUCGGAAUUACUGGGCUUAAAGAGUUCGUAGGUGGUUAAAAAAGUUGGUGGUGAAAUCCCAGAGCUUAACUCUGGAACUGCCAUCAAAACUUUUUAGCUAGAGUAUGAUAGAGGAAAGCAGAAUUUCUAGUGUAGAGGUGAAAAUUCGUAGAUAUUAGAAAGAAUACCGAUUGCGAAGGGCAGCUUUCUGGAUCAUUACUGACACUGAGGAACGAAAGCAUGGGUAGCGAAGAGGAUUAGAUACCCUCGUAGUCCAUGCCGUAAACGAUGUGUGUUAGACGUUGGAAAUUUAUUUUCUGUGUCGCAGCGAAAGCAAUAAACACACCGCCUGGGGAGUACGACCGCAAGGUUAAAACUCAAAUGAAUUGACGGGGACCCGCACAAGUAGUAGAGCAUGUGGUUUAAUUCGAAGAUACGCGCAGAACCUUACCAACACUUGACAUGUUCGUCGCGACUUUAAGAGAUUAAAGUUUUCGGUUCGGCCGGACGAAACACAGGUGCUGCAUGGCUGUCGUCAGCUCGUGUCGUGAGAUGUUGGGUUAAGUCCCGCAACGAGCGCAACCCUCACUUUUAGUUGCCAUCAUUUAGUUGGGCACUCUGAAAGAACUGCCAGUGAUAAGCUGGAGGAAGGUGGGGAUGACGUCAAGUCCUCAUGGCCCUUACGUGUUGGGCUACACACGUGCUACAAUGGCAUUUACAAUAGGAAGCAAGACGGCGACGUUAAGCAAAUCCUAAAAAAAUGCCUCAGUUCGGAUUGUACUCUGCAACUCGAGUACAUGAAGCUGGAAUUACUAGUAAUCGCGGAUCAGCGCGCCGCGGUGAAUACGUUCCCGGGUCUUGUACACACCGCCCGUCACACCAUGGGAGUUGGUUCUACCUUAAGGCAAAGUUUAAUACCUUUGACCACGGUAUAGUCAGCGACUGGGGU
rnacentral:rRNA from 1 species